GACGAACGCUGGCGGCGUGCUUAACACAUGCAAGUCGAACGGUAAGGCCCUUCGGGGUACGCGAGUGGCGAACGGGUGAGUAACACGUGGGUGAUCUGCCCUGCACUUCGGGAUAAGCCUGGGAAACUGGGUCUCAUACCGGUCAGGACCAAUGCCUGCAUGGCUGGUGGCGGAACGCUUUUGCGGUGUGGGAUGGGCUCGCGGCCGAUCAGCUUGUUGGUGGGGUGAUGUCCUACCAAGGCGACGAUGGGUAGCCGGCCUGAGAGGGUGACCGGCAACACUGGGACUGAGAGACGGCCCAGACGCCGACGGGAGGCAGCAGUGGGGAAUAUUGCACAAUGGGCGCAAGCCUGAUGCAGCGACGCCGCGUGAGGGAUGACGGCCUUCGGGUUGUAAACCUCUUUCAGCACCGACGAAGCGCAAGUGACGGUAGGUGCAGAAGAAGGACCGGCCAACUACGUGCCAGCCGCCGCAGUAA
rnacentral:rRNA from 1 species